AUGCAUGGUGGGUUGACCUGUUUACGGUUUUAUGUUGUUUUACAGAAAAUGGCGAAAUAUACUUUGCCAACAAAGUUUCCCGCACUAAACGUUGAUGUGGUCGAGAGCGUCCGACAGACGCUCCAGUUGUCUUCUUAUGCUGUCAUAGAUCCAACUGUGACAAGGGAAAGUCUGUACAGUACAGUGCUUAAUUCCCAUGGAUUUGCUUUGGAAGCAAUAAUACGGGAAGUGAGGCGGAGCUGCUCUUUCUCAGCGAUGGUAUGUUUGUUAUGUUUUAAAAAAUGUGUGUUUUUGUGAGCAAGAAGUUAGAGGGCAUAAAUUCAUUACUGUCACAAUUGAGAAUUUUAUAUUUUGUUUGUAUGUGUGCAGGUCAAUGGGGGAUCCUCAGGGUGAGGUGGAGGUUGUGGUUAACCAGGAGGUAGAGGAUUAUAGUUUUUAUAUAAUAAAAGGUUUUUCACAUGGGUUGUGUGUGUUGUGGUUAUUUGCUGUGUAUUUGGUGGUCAUGUUAAGGUGUACAGUGCAUACGGAAAGUAUUCACAGCGCUUCACUUUUUCAACAUUUCAUUAUGUU
rnacentral:lncRNA from 15 species